rnacentral:rRNA from 1 species
UACAGAGGGUGCGAGCGUUAAUCGGAAUUACUGGCGUAAAGCGCACGCAGGCGGUCUCUUAAGUUUGGAGUGACAGUUGGUGGCUUAACUGCCAAAGUGCUUCGAAAACUGAGAGACUUGAGGGCUUCAGAGGGACACGGAAUCCGGGUGGAGUGGUGAAAUGCGUAGAGAUCCGGAGGAACACCAAAGGCGAAGGCAGUGUCCUGGGGAGUACCUGACGCUCAGGUGCGAAAGCCAGGGGAGCGAACGGG